rnacentral:rRNA from 1 species
GUGCCAGCAGCCGCGGUAAUACGUAGGGUGCGAGCGUUAAUCGGAAUUACUGGGCGUAAAGCGUACGCAGGCGGCUAUGCAAGACAGGUGUGAAAUCCCCGGGCUUAACCUGGGAACUGCAUUUGUGACUGCAUAGCUAGAGUUUGUCAGAGGGGGGUGGAAUUCCACGUGUAGCAGUGAAAUGCGUAGAGAUGUGGAGGAACACCGAUGGCGAAGGCAGCCCCCUGGGACCUGACUGACGCUCAUGUACGAAAGCGUGGGGAGCAAACAGGAUUAGAAACCCUGGUAGUCC